AGAGUUUGAUCCUGGCUCAGGAUGAACGCUAGCUACAGGCUUAACACAUGCAAGUCGAGGGGAAACGGCAUUGAGUGCUUGCACUCUUUGGACGUCGACCGGCGCACGGGUGAGUAACGCGUAUCCAACCUUCCCAUUACUGUGGGAUAACCUGCCGAAAGGCAGACUAAUACCGCAUAGUCUUCGAUGACGGCAUCAGAUUUGAAGUAAAGAUUUAUCGGUAAUGGAUGGGGAUGCGUCUGAUUAGCUUGUUGGCGGGGUAACGGCCCACCAAGGCGACGAUCAGUAGGGGUUCUGAGAGGAAGGUCCCCCACAUUGGAACUGAGACACGGUCCAAACUCCUACGGGAGGCAGCAGUGAGGAAUAUUGGUCAAUGGGCGAGAGCCUGAACCAGCCAAGUAGCGUGCAGGAUGACGGCCCUAUGGGUUGUAAACUGCUUUUGUAUGGGGAUAAAGUUAGGGACGUGUCCCUAUUUGCAGGUACCAUACGAAUAAGGACCGGCUAAUUCCGUGCCAGCAGCCGCGGUAAUACGGAAGGUCCAGGCGUUAUCCGGAUUUAUUGGGUUUAAAGGGAGCGUAGGCUGGAGAUUAAGUGUGUUGUGAAAUGUAGACGCUCAACGUCUGAAUUGCAGCGCAUACUGGUUUCCUUGAGUACGCACAACGUUGGCGGAAUUCGUCGUGUAGCGGUGAAAUGCUUAGAUAUGACGAAGAACUCCGAUUGCGAAGGCAGCUGACGGGAGCGCAACUGACGCUUAAGCUCGAAGGUGCGGGUAUCAAACAGGAUUAGAUACCCUGGUAGUCCGCACAGUAAACGAUGGAUGCCCGCUGUUGGUACCUGGUAUCAGCGGCUAAGCGAAAGCAUUAAGCAUCCCACCUGGGGAGUACGCCGGCAACGGUGAAACUCAAAGGAAUUGACGGGGGCCCG
rnacentral:rRNA from 1 species